UACGUAGGGGGCGAGCGUUGUCCGGAUUCAUUGGGCGUAAAGCGCGCGUAGGCGGCUUGGCAAGUCGGCCGUGAAAUCUCCGGGCUCAACUCGGAGGGGUCGGGCGAGACUGCCAGGCUCGAGGUGGGCAGAGGGCAGUGGAAUUCCGGGUGUAGCGGUGGAAUGCGUAGAGAUCCGGAAGAACACCGGUGGCGAAGGCGGCCUGCUGGGCAGUUGCUGACGCUGAUGCGCGACAGCGUGGGGAGCAAACAGG
rnacentral:rRNA from 1 species